GACCCGUCCGUGCAUUCCAGUCUACCUGAUGUGCACGAGAAAGUCAAACACCAGUUGACAUGUAACAAAACUCAACUGGAUUUUGGUGUUUCUGAGGAACACGCUACACCAAAGCUCGGGGAUCUCAGACUCGCAACUGCUGUGGACUGAAAAGUCUCCUUCCAGUUCACUGUGGCCCUACACAUGCUCCAGCCUAGGCAGACAAAAUAUUUGGAGAAUCCAAACAAACGUCUUAAUUAAAUACAAAGCAAAACUGAGAUAAAAGUAAGUUUCCCAAAAAGAUUCUUAUAACUAUUAGAAAUAGAAGGUAUUUCCA
rnacentral:lncRNA from 1 species